rnacentral:lncRNA from 1 species
AUAUUUGAACCCUUGCCUCUCCGGCAAAGGCAUCAGCUGCUGGUCGUUAGCCUCCUCCUUCUUUCUCCUUCGUUGGUUUUCUCCUCUUACCCCUCCUCAGCAUUUUCUUCAUAUUUUCUUGCUACUCACCCCUUGCUGGCCCUCCAACCAUCUCGAUUUCUUCUUCGCCCGUUCUCCCCCUUUUAUCCUUCUUUUCUGCCACCGUGCCCCUUUUUCUUUCUUCUUUCCCGUUUCCCUCCCCUCCCUUGGUCCUAUCACCGGCGUCCACCCCCAUCCAUCGUUUUUUUGCCGGCAUCCACCCUCUCCGACAUUUGUGGCCUUUUUUUCAUUCUUCCGAUAGUAUUAUGUGGGUGGCAAUUGAUGCACCUUCAGGUCUCCCUCUCCUCUUCGCUUGAGGGUAUCGGCUCUAAAAUUGCUCAUUUUCUCCAGCCAGUACAAGCUCGCUUGCUCGCCCUCGAGUCUUUAAUGACUCGUUUUGUCUACAUCUAAUUUAAUAAGAUUUGACAUGAUUAGGCUACUUAGAUUUCGUCGGAAAAAUCAUGGUCAUCGUCAAUGCGAUAAACGCUAUAGUUAACGAUUUCGCUCUGGUGGUUGGCAUCAUUGUUGUAGCUUGCUUUCGUGAUGUUGGUUAUUUUUCUUUUUUGCUGUUGUAGUUGUUAGAGUUAGGUGUUUUCUUUGUAUGGCUUGAUUUCGAUAAGAGAUUCAUACCAAUUCUAUGAUACGUUUAACUUAAGACUUAUUUUUUUUAUAUAUAUUGGAUUGAUUUUAGUUUCCUUGUACAAUCUUAAAUAUCAAUGAAUAUUGUUGAGCAAAG